GUUGGAUAGGUCUGGAUAGUUGGAUAGGUCUGGAAAGGUCUGGAUAGUUGGAUAGGUCUGGAUAGUUGGAUAGGUCUGAAUAGUUGGAUAGGUCUGGAUAGUUGGAUAGGUCUCUGGAUAGUUGGAUAGGUCUGGAUAGUUGGAUAGGUCUGGAUAGAUAGAUAGGUCUGGAUAGUUGGAUAGGGCUGGAUAGUUGGAUAGGGCUGGAUAGUUGGAUAGGUCUGGAUAGAUAGAUAGGUCUGGAUAUGUCUGGAUAGUUGGAUAGGUCUGGAUAGUUGGAUAGGUCUGGAUAGUUGGAUAGGUCUGGAUAGUUGGAUAGGGCUGGAUAGUUGGAUAGGGCUGGAUAGUUGGAUAGGUCUGGAUAGGUGGAUAGUUGGAUAGGUCUGGAUAGGUCUGGAUAGUUGGAUAGGGCUGGAUAGUUGGACAGGGCUGGAUAGGGCUGGAUAGUUGGACAAGGCUGGAUAGUUGGACAGGGCUGGAUAGUUGGACAGGGCUGAAUAGUUGGAUAGGUCUGGAUAGUUGGAUAGGUCUGGAUAGGGCUGGAUAGUUGGAUAGGUCUGGAUAGUUGGAUAGGUCUGGAUAGUUGGAUAGGUCUGGAUAGUUGGAUAGGUCUGGAUAGUUGGAUAGGGCUGGAUAGUUGGAUAGGUCUGGAUAGUUGGGUAGGGCUGGAUAGUUGGGUAGGUCUGGAUAGUUGGAUAGGUCUGGAUAGUUGGAUAGGUCUGGAUAGUUGGAUAGGUCUGGAAAGGUCUGGAUAGUUGGAUAGGUCUGGAUAGUUGGAUAGGUCUGAAUAGUUGGAUAGGUCUGGAUAUUUGGAUAGGUCUGGAUAGUUGGAUAGGUCUG
ensembl:lncRNA